rnacentral:lncRNA from 1 species
ACACUUGUUUUUGGAUGAGCUAGAGGUUCUCAAAUCAAAAUUUAGCUUAAUUGGAGUUUUGUAAUAAAAGUUAUUCCAAUUGAAAGGUACUAAGCUUGUUGGUUUUUAAAACAGAUUUUGUCUCAUUUUUACUUAACUUCCAGGUAAUGUAACUUUUUCAUUAAAAAUGGUAUUGACUCAGAACCAAUUGAGAAAGAAACCUGGAUGAGUAAAGUUUAACUACAUUAAUUUUCAAAGUCAUUGGAUUUAACUUGGAUUUUUUAUUGAAUUUUGAAUAUCACAUACUGCUGCUGUUUUUUUGGUUUUAUGCACUGCAGAGCAGUCACGGUUUUUCCUUUAUUCCUGAGGCUAGAAAAAUCAGAAAAUUAUGAUAUUUAGUUUGUUAGAAAUCUUAUUUCAAUAUGAACGCCUGGACAUAAAGUUUGUGCAAUUCCGAGUUCAUUUGCUAUAUUAGAAACAGAAAAGAAAAUAGAGUGUCGAGGAUGUCUUAGUGAUAGUCAUGAGUUCGAGAAGUUAAAGUUCAAUCCUCGUGUGAUGUGAUUGAUUUAAUGUUAGAGUUGGGUUGAUUUUAAUAUUAUUCAAUAUUAAGAAGGAUGAGAAGAGUUUGAUAAAAAGUUUGGUCAGGACCCGGAAAGGGUAAUCAAGAUGAAUUAUAAGGGAAUGACGAUGAAGAAUGUGAAAGUGAGGUUGUUAAUAAAAGGAGUUAAUAUGCCAUGGCUUGAUGAAUGAUUAAAUAAUGAUUAUGACUAUGAAAUGGCUUAUGAAUAAUGCUAUCUGAGAUACGAGUUCCCUGGGUAAGAGCCGUGGCUCGCCAUCACGUGUUCCAGGUUGAAUCUCGAUACUCUGUUGACCCUACGUCGUAAGGGUGACCGGGCACGUAUAAAUUUCCGGGUAUGGAUAGCCCCCAUUGAGUGAUUUUAUGAAAUAUGAAUGUGAACUCUAUGCAUAGACUCUUGGGGAUGCGCGACGGGGGACAGUCUAAGGUUUUCGGACUUGUCGGGUUGGCUGGAUAAUCGACAGAUGGGCUCCAUCAGCCAUAGGACAGGCAUGCAUCAUAUGCAUUUGUUUGUAUUGAUUGCUAUGCAUUUUUUUGGGUAUGCCUAAUUGAUAUAUAUUACCUGCUAUUUGUUAUAUUUGCUAUUUGUACUAUUUGAUCAUUACUUGUGCGUGAACUUGUUUGGUUGCUUGUUUCUGUUACAUUCUGAAUGAUGAAAGGAUGGAGGAAACGGAGGAAAUGGUUUGGUGUUAGGUUAAGAUUGAACUUGAGUAAGUUAGGCAGAUUUAGAAUACCUACCCCUGUUUAUGGCUUCUGUUUAGUACUUAAGUUGGAUAAUUGAAUAACGGAGUUCUAGGAUUACCUAUGGCAUUCUCA